GAUGAACGCUGGCGGCGUGCCUAAUACAUGCAAGUCGAGCGAACAGACGAGGAGCUUGCUCCUCUGACGUUAGCGGCGGACGGGUGAGUAACACGUGGAUAACCUACCUAUAAGACUGGGAUAACUUCGGGAAACCGGAGCAAAUACCGGAUAAUAUAUUGAACCGCAUGGUUCAAUGGUGAAAGACGGUGUUGCUGUCACGUAUAGAGGGAUCCGCGCCGCAUUAGCUAGUUGGUAAGGUAACGGCUUACCAAGGCAACGAUGCGUAGCCGACCUGAGAGAGUGGUCGGCGGCCUGAGAGCUGGAACGCGGUCAAGGCGACUAAGGGAGGCAGCAGAAGGCAACCUGACGCAACAGGCGAAAGCCUGACGGAGCAACGCGAAGUGUGUGAUGAAGAUCUUCGGAUCGUAAAGCUCUCUUAUUAGGGAAGAACAAAUGUGGAAGUAGAUAUGCCCGUCUUGACGGUACCUAAUCAGAAAGCCACGGCUAACUACGUG
rnacentral:rRNA from 1 species